rnacentral:RNase_MRP_RNA from 1 species
AAGUUCCCUCGUUCAACACCGCGGAGCCACAUUCGGAGUCCUCAGUGACUCUCAUGCUCUGAGGAAAGUCCCUGGACCCGUGGCAGCAAGUGUCGUAGCGUUAUCGCUGCCAGCCUUCCGCCGUCUUCUCGACUAGGAAAGGAAGCUUUCGGGCUGAUCUUCGAGUAAGGGUGGCAGUGUAUUGGUCAAAGAAAAGAAAUGUGUUUGAGGCGGGAAGUUCCAUCGAUUCUCUUCUCCUCGGAGAAGAAAUUGAAGAACUUGUCCAACUGAACAGGGCUUAUUACGAGGAAACU